UGACUCCUUACUUGGAUGUUGGGUAAAAC
rnacentral:piRNA from 1 species